rnacentral:rRNA from 1 species
AGUGAACGCUGGCGGUAGGCCUAACACAUGCAAGUCGAACGGCAGCACAGUAAGAGCUUGCUCUUACGGGUGGCGAGUGGCGGACGGGUGAGGAAUACAUCGGAAUCUACUUUUUCGUGGGGGAUAACGUAGGGAAACUUACGCUAAUACCGCAUACGACCUACGGGUGAAAGCAGGGGAUCUUCGGACCUUGCGCGAUUGAAUGAGCCGAUGUCGGAUUAGCUAGUUGGCGGGGUAAAGGCCCACCAAGGCGACGAUCCGUAGCUGGUCUGAGAGGAUGAUCAGCCACACUGGAACUGAGACACGGUCCAGACUCCUACGGGAGGCAGCAGUGGGGAAUAUUGGACAAUGGGCGGAAGCCUGAUCCAGCCAUACCGCGUGGGUGAAGAAGGCCUUCGGGUUGUAAAGCCCUUUUGUUGGGAAAGAAAAGCAGCGGGUUAAUACCCCGCUGUUCUGACGGUACCCAAAGAAUAAGCACCGGCUAACUUCGUG